rnacentral:rRNA from 1 species
CCCUUAGAUGUUCUGGGCCGCACGCGCGCUACACUGAUGCAUUCAACGAGUUUCUUCCUGGUCCGAGAGGAAUGGGUAACCUUUUGAAAGUGCAUCGUGAUAGGGAUAGACUAUUGCAAUUAUUGGUCUUCAACGAGGAAUUCCUAGUAGACGUAGUUCAGCAGACUGCAUCGAUUACGUCCCUGCCCUUUGUACACACCGCCCGUCGCUCCUACCGAUUGAAUGCUCAGGUGAGCCAUUCGGACUUUCAUCAUGCUGGUUUCCAGUUUUGAUGAAGGAAAGUCUUGCGAACCUUAUCAUUUAGAGGAAGGAGAAGUCGUAACA